rnacentral:rRNA from 1 species
UACGUAGGGUGCGAGCGUUGUCCGGAAUUAUUGGGCGUAAAGAGCUCGUAGGCGGUGUGUCACGUCGGCCGUGAAAACCUGCAGCUUAACUGUGGGCGUGCGGUCGAUACGGGCAUCACUGGAGUUCGGCAGGGGAGACUGGAAUUCCUGGUGUAGCGGUGAAAUGCGCAGAUAUCAGGAGGAACACCGGUGGCGAAGGCGGGUCUCUGGGCCUUACCUGACGCUGAGGAGCGAAAGCGUGGGGAGCGAACAGG